CGCGGGAUGGAGCAGUUGGUAGCUCGUCGGGCUCAUAACCCGAAGGUCACAGGUUCGAGUCCUGUUCCCGCUACUA
rnacentral:tRNA from 13 species